rnacentral:rRNA from 1 species
GUGGGAACGUACCUUUUGGUUCGGAACAACACAGGGAAACUUGUGCUAAUACCGGAUAAGCCCUUACGGGGAAAGAUUUAUCGCCGAAAGAUCGGCCCGCGUCUGAUUAGCUAGUUGGUGAGGUAACGGCUCACCAAGGCGACGAUCAGUAGCUGGUCUGAGAGGAUGAUCAGCCACAUUGGGACUGAGACACGGCCCAAACUCCUACGGGAGGCAGCAGUGGGGAAUAUUGGACAAUGGGCGCAAGCCUGAUCCAGCCAUGCCGCGUGAGUGAUGAAGGCCCUAGGGUUGUAAAGCUCUUUUGUGCGGGAAGAUAAUGACGGUACCGCAAGAAUAAGCCCCGGCUAACUUCGUGCCAGCAGCCGCGGUAAUACGAAGGGGGCUAGCGUUGCUCGGAAUCACUGGGCGUAAAGGGUGCGUAGGCGGGUCUUUAAGUCAGGGGUGAAAUCCUGGAGCUCAACUCCAGAACUGCCUUUGGUACUGAAGAUCUUGAGUUCGGGAGAGGUGAGUGGAACU